GACAGAGGAUGCAAGCGUUAUCCGGAAUGAUUGGGCGUAAAGCGUCCGCAGGUGGCAAUGUAAGUCUGCUGUUAAAGAGUCUAGCUCAACUAGAUAAAAGCAGUGGAAACUACAUAGCUAGAGUACGUUCGGGGCAGAGGGAAUUCCUGGUGUAGCGGUGAAAUGCGUAGAGAUCAGGAAGAACACCAGUGGCGAAGGCGCUCUGCUAGGCCGUAACUGACACUGAGGGACGAAAGCUAGGGGAGCGAAUGGG
rnacentral:rRNA from 1 species